rnacentral:tRNA from 1 species
GGAGCGGUAGUUCAGGUGGUGAUAGGUCGGCCUGUAACGCCGUAGGUCGCGGGUUAGAGUCCCGUCCGCUCCG